rnacentral:rRNA from 1 species
AGCGGCGGAUGGGUGAGUAACACGUGGGGAACCUGCCCCUAAGUCUGGGAUACCAUUUGGAAACAGGUGCUAAUACCGGAUAAUAAAGCAGAUCGCAUGAUCAGCUUUUGAAAGGCGGCGUAAGCUGUCGCUAAGGGAUGGCCCCGCGGUGCAUUAGCUAGUUGGUAAGGUAACGGCUUACCAAGGCGACGAUGCAUAGCCGAGUUGAGAGACUGAUCGGCCACAUUGGGACUGAGACACGGCCCAAACUCCUACGGGAGGCAGCAGUAGGGAAUCUUCCACAAUGGACGCAAGUCUGAUGGAGCAACGCCGCGUGAGUGAAGAAGGUUUUCGGAUCGUAAAGCUCUGUUGUUGGUGAAGAAGGAUAGAGGUAGUAACUGGCCUUUAUUUGACGGUAAUCAACCAGAAAGUCACGGCUAACUACGUGCCAGCAGCCGCGGUAAUACGUAGGUGGCAAGCGUUGUCCGGAUUUAUUGGGCGUAAAGCGAGCGUAGGCGGAAAAAUAAGUCUAAUGUGAAAGCCCUCGGCUUAACCGAGGAACUGCAUCGGAAACUGUUUUUCUUGGGUGCAGAAGAGGAGAGUGGAACUCCAUGUGCAGCGGUGGAAUGCGUAGAUAUAUGGAAGAACACCAGUGGCGAAAGGCGGCUCUCUGGUCUGCAACUGACGCUGAGGCUCGAAAGCAUGGGUAGCGAACAGGAUUAGAUACCCUGGUAGUCCAUGCCGUAAACGAUGAGUGCUAAGUGU